UAGAAUAACGAUUACAUAUGUGAUGCA
rnacentral:sRNA from 1 species